rnacentral:lncRNA from 1 species
UAAGUCAUAAGGCAGAUAAUAGGGCAGGAGUUGGGAUUACAUAAGGGCAACAACAUCAGGAGAAAUCUCAAACACCGCAUGGCUCAGCUUUCUAAGAAUUCCGUGGAAUUCAGGAAUCAUAUCCACAAGAUCCCUGUCAGACCAGUUUGUUAAUCUUGUCGGGGAUGACGGCAGCAACCAUGUAGCUGUCCAAGUAAGGAAAUCGGUGUCCUAUCCAACUGUUGACUGCCUCUGGUGAAAGAAAGGUAUCCUUGCUAUGCAAGGAGCUUGUUACAGAAGUCCG